CUGCCCGUCAAGGAAUCCAGCCGGGCGGAAUCCUUGGGCUGAAAAGACUCACCCGCGCCGCAGACGCGGCGCUGCUGGAUCCCUGUGACGAGCACAGGGAUGAGGGUGGAACGG
rnacentral:sRNA from 1 species